rnacentral:lncRNA from 1 species
AUGCCAGGAGUUGGUAUUCCGGGUGUGAGCCGUUCCAUCCUGCAGCCCUGUCGUUUCAGCUGGCUCCCGUUCAACCCACGUUGGCAUGUGCUGUCUCUUAGCAACUGCCAGACGGAUGGUCCCGGCUGGCCGCUGGCAACGCGCCGCUCGGCCACCCAGCCUAGGUGCUGGUGGAGCCCUGCCUGCCUUCCACAACUCCUGGAAAUUACCUGCUGGAAACGGCCUCUGUUUGCCAGGGAAAAAGGAGCUUGGACUGGCGAGUCUGACCUGUUCAUGGCAGCAACAGAUCCUGGCUAUGGCUGGAAGGGCGAAGCUCUGAAGAUGACACAAAUCUUUCAGAACUCAGCUGGCUGCUCCUGCUACCUAAAGUGCAAGUCGUUGAGGAAAUAAAUGUCUUUGCACCAUACUGUGACUCAAUUCUAAAAGAAAAAAAUCUAGAAAGUCCAUAGUCCCUAUGGAGUACCUCUGAGCAUCUGUUUUGGUCUACAAUGUCUGAAUUAUUUCAAGCUCCUGAAUGAGGAAAAAUUAUGAUUGAGAUCAUUGCAGUGAUCUAGAAUUGACUCUGUGGGCUGUAGUUUCCCCUAAGUCAUGCUCAUUACCAUACCAUCUUCCUGAAAACACAAAUAAGAAUAUUUUCUGGCAUCAGUCAACGAAACCUCGUUUCUGUUCCCACUGGACCUCUUUACAUUUUGAUGUGGAAGCUGAAAAGGCUCCCAAAAGCUCUUAGGCUCUUUUUUUGCCUGUUGGUGGAAGCUAAAUCACUUAACUCACUGUUAACAAUCUUGAAAAUAGAUUAGUGAUUUUCUUAUCUGAAUUCCUUGUGGAAGGUAGGGAGUAUUUAACAGCACUUGCUGUGGCAAGCCAAGGUGAGAUAGGUGCAGGCUGGACUCAGGGGACAGGACUGAAGAAUCCUAUUUAUAUCAGGGAAGGGGAAAAAAGAAGCCAGUAAUUUAUAAAGCCCUCAAUGAGUCACCAAGGUUUUCCUUUAUGGGCAGGAUAAAGUGAACAGCUGUUCUACUGCAUUCCAUUUGCUUGAGUCAACAGGCCCAUUCUAAUAGUUUGUUGAUUCUCUUACAUUUUGUCAAUAUUGUGGUAUGAUUUCAUUGUUUGUUUUAUCGCUACUCAGAUUGACAAUGUUUUAUUUUGUGAGCUAUGAUGAGAGAUAGCUCAUAGGCUACAAUGGUAAGAAUGAUUUAUCUUGAAUUCCUUUUUUAGCAGAUUGUUUUGCUGUAGCUACCACCCUGCACCAGCUAUUUAAUGAUUUUUUUUUUUAGCUAUUUAAUGAUGUUCUUCUCUUGUAACCCCCAAACAAAACAGUGUUUUUCUUGGCAGUCAGUGAUUUGAGCCAUUGUUCCUGUGGCACGUGGCUGGCUUUUCUUUUAUGGGGCAA